GAACUCCGAAGUUAGCGUGCUUGUGGCGAGAGUAGUACUAGUGAUGGGUGACCUCCCGGGAAGUCCUCGUGUUGCAUCCC
rnacentral:rRNA from 1 species